GGCAGUUCUCGGGUGACACACCCCGGAAUCGGGCUCCCUCCCUUCUGGUUCUGGGUGCAUCACCGAGAGCCACA
rfam:Myotis brandtii contig270228, whole genome shotgun sequence.